rnacentral:tRNA from 1 species
GCAUGUGGCUUAGUGGUAGAGUUCUUGCCUGGCAAGUCUAAGACUCUGAGUUCAAUUCCCAGCACUGCA